AUUGAACGCUGGCGGCAGGCCUAACACAUGCAAGUCGAACGGCAGCACAGAAGAGCUUGCUCUUUGGGUGGCGAGUGGCGGACGGGUGAGUAAUGUCUGGGAAACUGCCCGAUGGAGGGGGAUAACUACUGGAAACGGUAGCUAAUACCGCAUAACGUCGCAAGACCAAAGUGGGGGACCUUCGGGCCUCACACCAUCGGAUGUGCCCAGAUGGGAUUAGCUAGUAGGUGGGGUAAUGGCUCACCUAGGCGACGAUCCCUAGCUGGUCUGAGAGGAUGACCAGCCACACUGGAACUGAGACACGGUCCAGACUCCUACGGGAGGCAGCAGUGGGGAAUAUUGCACAAUGGGCGCAAGCCUGAUGCAGCCAUGCCGCGUGUAUGAAGAAGGCCUUCGGGUUGUAAAGCACUUUCAGCGGGGAGGAAGGCGGUGAGGUUAAUAACCUCGCCGAUUGACGUUACCCGCAGAAGAAGCACCGGCUAACUCCGUGCCAGCAGCCGCGGUAAAAC
rnacentral:rRNA from 1 species